GGGCACAAGUGUUGGCGAUCCUGAAGGUGUUCGAACAAGAUAAUUAAAGGUUGAUCUUCGAGUAAAAAAACCGAUGGUAAACGUCAGCAACGUAAAGGCAGUGGAAGCAAACUCAGGAAUCAACUACGUUGGAUUUAGAGGAAUAUCCACGCUAAGGAACCAGGGACAGAGCAAAUAAAGUGGUAAAAGAAGAGGAGGAAUAGCUGAAGAUGUUAAGAACAACGGAGAAGAAAUGCAUAAUGCUGUUAAGUGGUUGGUACACAUUCAAAGAAGUGUGGGACUUCAAAAAACAAAGGAAAUCAACAUUGUAGGAAGUCAGUACUUUUAUUUCCAACGAUAUCAAAUGUCUGAAAUACAGAAUGACCUAAAGGUAUGCUUCUUCUUUAUUUGGAACAUGUUUUCUUGCAAAGCUUAUAUAU